GCCCCGGUAGCCUAGCCUGGUGGGGCGUCGGCUUGGUAAGCCGAAGGUCGCGGGUUCGAAGCCCGCCCGGGGCUCCA
rnacentral:tRNA from 1 species